CCGUCCUCCCCCGUGAUGCUGCUCAGAGUUGGUAUCGGCCAGCUGAAGCGGGAGGUAUAAAUAUCCACUGCUCCCAGUCAAUCUGUUUGACAGUGAUCGCGGAGAUGCAGGACACGCACAGUCGUUUCAUAGGAACCUCGACCCAAACAACGGUUGAAGAAACCUGACGAAGCCUGUGACGGAAACAGGUUUCAGUAACUUUGACUGUUUUCCAGAAGACACUGAUGAUCCUCUGGCUGAUGAAGAGUCCGGCUGGGACUUCUGAUCAAUCAUCGAUCAUUUUAGUCCAAUUUAUACAGAAAAUCUUGAACUGCAACAUGAAAGAUAAAAAAAACAAAAACAAAUCAUUGCUAUUUUAUAUUUAUUGUAAUUUUAUUAUGCAUGCAUGCAUGUACGUAUUCUGUUUAUUAAUUCAUAAUUUUUUUUCUUUAGCUUUAAAGAAAUGGGCAUUGUCUGUUGGUGUGUUUCAAUGCAUUUUGUGAUUAAUAGGUAAAAUGUUAAUAAAAAGAUGCAAAAAAAA